GGCUCUAGGGCUGCUAGACAGGAGGAGGAGAAGGAAAGGAGGGGAGGGGAGGCUAUAUAGAUUAUUGCAGACUAAGCAGUCUGGCUCUGCAGCAGCAGCGAAAGGAAGGGGGAGGGUGUGUAGAAGGGCGCGCGCUCUAGAGAGCAAGGGAGAGCUUGGCGCUGGGCCAGCUACCAUCAGAAUUAGCUCAUUGUUCAAUAUAACCAGCAUAGACAACCAAAGCCUGAAACAGAGCGAGAUUUUCCCCUCUUGCUGCUGCCCCCACCCCGUUUCUCCCCUCCCCCGUUUUCCAAGGCUGCACUCAGAAAAAGGUGCAGUCAUUCCUUCCCACACCCCUUACCCAGGCUUCUCUCUUCCCCCUUCUAUAAAUUCUUUUCUAUAGCAUGCUGCCCCUUUUAAACUCACAUUUGUAUUUCAGAUCAUGUAGAAAGGAGAGAAAGUGAGAAGGGGAAUUUGUCAGAAUUUUCAUUUUGCUGACAGUGAAUUUCUGAGUCUUAAAAGAGUGCAAGAUGGUUUAUCAUCCAAGGCUCACAAUCAGCCUGAAACAUAUUCCAAUGAGCCAUGGACAUGGAGGAUUUAUUAAGGACAAUCUUCCCAUCCCAAAGGAAGUUAACCGCAAAAAGAAUGAGGGAGCUCUGUUCCUGACACCAGUGAAUGGCUCUGGACACCAUUUCAACAAAAUCUAUUACCUCUCUUUUUAAUCAUUACUCCUCAUUUGUAUUAAAUAUGGUGUAUGGGUGUUGAUGAGGUCAUCAUGGUGUCAUAUAUCGGGAAUUGUUUAUUUUGUAAAUCAUAAGAAGAAAAGUACGGGACUCUGAGCCUUGCUUUAGAGAAUUACAGUGGAAUAUAUGUACCAUAAACCAGUUUUUAACCAUUCUGACUCAAGUAAAAAGCUCUCAGAAUUUCACACUGUGAACCCAAGUUUACAAACACUACAGGUGGGCCUUCAGGCCUUGUUCUACCACAGCAAUGUCUUCCACUAGCCAAAAUCAACUGACCACAUGCAACUGGUAAACUGCUGCCUCUCCAUUUUCCAUGAUUCCUAACUGCUUCUUGCAGAGGCUGAGAGUCCCCCUUUUAUUUCAUUUUAGAUGUAACAAGCCUAGUAGUUUAUUUUCAUCAAUUGUCUGUAUAUCUCUAUAUUUUAUCCAUGUACUCUUUUGAUGUAUAGAAGUAGUAUGAAACUCAUGGUUUCCUUGUGGUAAGUGACUGAGAUGCUGCCACGGGAUUUGAGACACUGAUGAAUGGUGCUAUUUUGGACUUUAAACAUGCUCCUUGGCAAGGUAGCUCUGAUGGAGUUAUUUUUAAUUUCCAUGUUCUAAGAAGGUGUUGGUACUUUGUUCUCGUUCUUUAGACUGGACUGACUUGUUUCUUUGUGUCUUCAGUGUGGCUUUCUUAUUCAGUGUUGUAGGGUGAGUAAUUCCUAAUAUAGCAAGUAAGGAACUGAUUCCCACCUGGGUAUGCUCACAAUCUUGCAUUGAUAGUGGGAGCAAUCACAAAACUGUAAUUUACUACAAUUUUCGUUUCUGCCAUUCUGCUUAAUAAUUUGGUUGAAGAACAGCAAUAAUUUUUUAUGAUUUUUAAGGGUCUUCUCUUGUCUUUUUUUAAAAUACAUUAGGCAUAUUUUUUAAAUGGGGGUUUAGCAUGUUUUUAAUAUCAUCUUAAAAACUGAUUAAAUUAACUAUUUUUAAACAUGCAGAAAUGGGAACUCUUAAAAUGACAAGAUAUUUCCCCAGUAUUUCCAGUAUGUGGAAUUUACAAUUUUGUUCUUGCUCCCA